CGACGAGAGGCUUGACUGACAGUGCCCUAGAACCCGAGGAAGCGGGGCUGUUACCUCAGUGGGUUCCCCCCGCCUCGCGCGCUGCGCGUGGCUGCCGUGUCGUAUUUUCACCUCAGUCUGUGGUAGUUCGUAACGACCGAGCUCGGCACGCACAUUGUUCCACCCUGGGGGCUUGGUUUUAUUCCGUCCCUCUUCAGCUUUACAGUUGAACGUCUAUCUGCUCCUCAGCCUGCAGCUUUUCAGCCACAGAUUUCAUCUGACAGAAUGCAUUGUGGUCAGCCGGAAAGAACUUCUAUGGCACGGUUAUUUAGUGGGGUAAAAAUAGCAUGAAAUACAUUCAGUAGCAAAGCAGUUGGAAUCCAGGAGAAGUGGAGAGCCCUGUAUUCCUGGAGGAUUAACC